AUUGAACGCUGGCGGCAUGCCUUACACAUGCAAGUCGAACGGCAGCGGACCUUCGGGUGCCGGCGAGUGGCGAACGGGUGAGUAAUAUAUCGGAACGUACCUUUCAGUGGGGGAUAACGUAGCGAAAGUUACGCUAAUACCGCAUAUUCUGUGAGCAGGAAAGCAGGGGAUCGCAAGACCUUGCGCUGAUUGAGCGGCCGAUAUCAGAUUAGCUAGUUGGUGAGGUAAAGGCUCACCAAGGCGACGAUCUGUAGCGGGUCUGAGAGGAUGAUCCGCCACACUGGAACUGAGACACGGUCCAGACUCCUACGGGAGGCAGCAGUGGGGAAUUUUGGACAAUGGGCGCAAGCCUGAUCCAGCCAUGCCGCGUGAGUGAAGAGGGCCUGGUGUAAGCUCUUCGGU
rnacentral:rRNA from 1 species